rnacentral:rRNA from 1 species
CCUACGGGCGGCAGCAGCGGGGGAUAUUGCACAAUGGGGGAAACCCUGAUGCAGCGACGCCGCGUGUAGGAAGACGGUCCUCUGGAUUGUAAACUACUGUCCCCAGGGACGAAGAUGACGGUACCUGGGGAGGAAGCUCCGGCUAACUACGUGCCAGCAGCCGCGGCAAUACGUAGGGAGCGAGCGUUGUCCGGAAUUACUGGGUGUAAAGGGAGCGUAGGCGGGGAUGCAAGUUGGGUGUUAAAUCUACCGGCUCAACUGGUAGUCGCACUCAAAACUGCAGAUCGUGAGUGAAGUAGAGGCAGGCGGAAUUCCUAGUGUAGCGGUGAAAUGCGUAGAUAUUAGGAGGAACACCAGUGGCGAAGGCGGCCUGCUGGGCUUUUACUGACGCUGAGGCUCGAAAGUGUGGGGAGCAAACAGGAUUAGAUACCCUGGUAGUC